AUUCUCAGAGUCAGGAAAAGGGGCGAGAGGCCACAUGUCUCCCUCUCGCCCAACUGAAAACGAAACGGCGCUCCAGCAGAUUGGGUGGAAAGAGCUGGGUCUCUUUUCUCUGUUUUUCACGCUAGAAAGGGCUUGUAAACAUUGUUCCUUUUAAAAUGACCUACCCCAGGCAUUUGUUUGGGCACACUUCUGUCCUGGGGUCAUCGUUCCUAGGUGGCUUCGGACCUGGGACUUUUCCUGUAUCUGCACAUUGUCGUUUUAUACACAAUUGCCAAGGUGGGACUGCUUUCAACUUUACUGUGCUUGAAGCUGCAAAGCGGAUCCUGUUACAGUGCAAAGAAGAAAUGGCAAACGGAUAACAGCUACUGUGCCUAGAAGAUGGUUCUGCCCUGAUGUUUCCUGGAAUAAUGCUGAGGACUGCCUUUCGGGUAGCCGCCCUAUUCAGUUCACUUCAUCUCGGAAAUACCUGACCCCUGCCUUGGAUCCAGCGGCCCUCCUGAGAGCUGAGGAAGGAGGAAAUCCUAUGUGUCUGCUCCCGGAGCUGCCACAACCCAUCUUCCCACAACUCGGAACUUGGAAAAAGGAACCCAGGACACGACUUUGCUUUUCUUUUGGACCUAGUUGGUGAUUAUACUCUGUCUCCCAUGGAGACCACGUCUUGCAUCCUUCCUUCUAUAUGGGAUUUAGGAUAGAAAUUAAAAAGAAAACAUAUUAUUUUGAGUCUUGAUUUGGAGAAAGGUAGUAUUCAGGAGGAAGUAGGCUAUGAUACACAUAGAAAAUUUGAGGACAGUGUUACUUAACAAGGACAUUUCUGUCUCUGCAGAAGUCACAGCUUGGAGGAAACCAGUUU
rnacentral:lncRNA from 1 species